rnacentral:lncRNA from 1 species
UAAGAGGAAAUUCAUCUGAUCAAUACUAUCCAGUCAUCUUGGGGGAUGAAAUAUACAUUUCAUCAACCCCCUAAAUCCAAUAGUAUUGGUCAAAUAAAAGUCAAAUCAACCAUGACCAAGGCCAAACAGAAAGUCAAACAUCACAAGGUCAAUUAAAUGACUCAAAAAUAUUUUUAAACAAUUAAACAAUUAAAAAUCUAUUUUAAAAUCAAUUAAAAGGAAUUUUUAAAUAGACAAGACCUCAAAUCCCUUCAAAU